ACGAGUUUUGAAACGAGUUGUAGCUGGCCUUCCGAGGCAUGUGCACGCUCUGCUCAUCCACUCUACCCCUGUGCACUUACUGUAGGUUGGCGUGGGCUCCUUGACGGGAGCAUUCUGCCGGCCUAUGUAUACUACAAACACUUUAAAGUAUCAGAAUGUAAACGCGUCUAACGCAUCUAUAAUA
rnacentral:misc_RNA from 1 species